rnacentral:rRNA from 1 species
GAUGAACGCUGGCGGCGUGCCUAAUACAUGCAAGUCGAGCGAAUGGAUUAAGAGCUUGCUCUUAUGAAGUUAGCGGCGGACGGGUGAGUAACACGUGGGUAACCUGCCCAUAAGACUGGGAUAACUCCGGGAAACCGGGGCUAAUACCGGAUAACAUUUUGAACCGCAUGGUUCGAAAUUGAAAGGCGGCUUCGGCUGUCACUUAUGGAUGGACCCGCGUCGCAUUAGCUAGUUGUGGAGGUAACGGCUCACCAAGGCAACGAUGCGUAGCCGACCUGAGAGGGUGAGCAGCCACACUGGGACUGAGACACGGCCCAGACUCCUACGGGAGGCAGCAGUAGGGAAUCUUCCGCAAUGGACGAAAGUCUGACGGAGCAACGCCGCGUGAGUGAUGAAGGCUUUCGGGUCGUAAAACUCUGUUGUUAGGGAAGAACAAGUGCUAGUUGAAUAAGCUGGCACCUUGACGGUACCUAACCAGAAAGCCACGGCUAACUACGUGCCAGCCGCCGCCGUAA